rnacentral:rRNA from 1 species
UACGUAGGGCGCAAGCGUUGUCCGGAAUUAUUGGGCGUAAAGAGCGCGCAGGCGGUCAUUCAAGUCGAGUGUGAAAGCCCCCGGCUCAACUGGGGAGGGUCACUCGAUACUGUACGCCUAGGGACUGGUAGAGGCUGGUAGAAUUCCCGGUGUAGCGGUGGAAUGCGUAGAGAUCGGGAAGAAUACCUGUGGCGAAGGCGGCCAGCUGGGCCAGGUCCGACGCUGAGGCGCGAAAGCGUGGGGAGCAAACAGG